GUGCAGCAGGCGAGAAUACUUUACAAUGCGGGAAACCGCGAUAAGGGGACACCGAGUGCCAGCAUAUUAUGUUGGCUGUCCACAUGUGUAAACGGCAUGUGUUAGCAAGGGCCGGGCAAGACCGGUGCCAGCCGCCGCGGUAACACCGGCGGCCCGAGUGGUAAUCACUUUUAUUGGGUCUAAAGGGUCCGUAGCCGGUUUGAUCAGUUCUUCGGGAAAUCUGACAGCUCAACUGUUAGGCUUCCGGGGAAUACUGUCAGACUUGGGACCGGGAGAGGUAAGAGGUACUACAGGGGUAGGAGUGAAAUCUUGUAAUCCCUGUGGGACCACCAGUGGCGAAGGCGUCUUACCAGAACGGGUCCGACGGUGAGGGACGAAAGCUGGGGGCACGAACCGGAUUAGAUACCCCGGUAGU
rnacentral:rRNA from 1 species